rnacentral:rRNA from 1 species
GACAGAGGAUGCAAGCGUUAUCCGGAAUGAUUGGGCGUAAAGCGUCUGUAGGUGGCUUUUCAAGUCCGCCGUCAAAUCCCAGGGCUCAACCCUGGACAGGCGGUGGAAACUACCAAGCUGGAGUUCGGCAGGGGAGACUGGAAUUCCGUGGUGGUAGCGGUGAAAUGCGCAGAUAUCAGGAGGAACACCGGUGGCGAAGGCGGGUCUCUGGGCCGAUGACUGACGUGAGGAGCGAAAGCGUGGGGAGCAAACAGG